rnacentral:rRNA from 1 species
CCCUUAGAUGUCCUGGGCUGCACGCGCGCUACACUGACGAACUCAACGAGCUUAUCACCUUGGCAGAGGUGUCUGGGUAAUCUUUUGAAAGUUCGUCGUGCUGGGGAUAGAUGAUUGUAAUUAUUCGUCUUGAACGAGGAAUUCCUAGUAAGUGUGAGUCAUCAGCUCGCGCUGAUUACGUCCCUGCCCUUUGUACACACCGCCCGUCGCUCCUACCGAUUGAAUGGUCCGGUGAGGUUCUCGGAUUUUUUCUGUUGUUUGGUUCGCUAAACGAUUGAAGAGAGAAGUUACCCAAACCUUACCAUUUAGAGGAAGGAGAAGUCGUAACA